UACGGAGGAUCCAAGCGUUAUCCGGAUUUAUUGGGUUUAAAGGGUGCGUAGGCGGCCUAUUAAGUCAGGGGUGAAAGACGGUAGCUUAACUAUCGCAGUGCCUUUGAUACUGAUGGGCUUGAAUGAACUAGAGGUAGGCGGAAUGUGACAAGUAGCGGUGAAAUGCAUAGAUAUGUCACAGAACACCAAUUGCGAAGGCAGCUUACGAUGGUUUUAUUGACGCUGAGGCACGAAAGCGUGGGGAUCAAACAGG
rnacentral:rRNA from 1 species